rnacentral:rRNA from 1 species
UACAGAGGGGGCAAGCGUUUGUUCGGAAUUACUGGGCGUAAAGGGCGCGUAGGCGGCCUUCUAAGUCGAACGUGAAAUCCCCGGGCUCAACCCGGGAACUGCGUCCGAUACUGGAAGGCUUGAAUCCGGGAGAGGGAUGCGGAAUUCCAGGUGUAGCGGUGAAAUGCGUAGAUAUCUGGAGGAACACCGGUGGCGAAGGCGGCAUCCUGGACCGGUAUUGACGCUGAGGCGCGAAAGCCAGGGGAGGCAAAGCGGG